UACGUAGGGUGCGAGCGUUAAUCGGAAUUACUGGGCGUAAAGCGUGCGCAGGCGGUUUUGUAAGCCAGAUGUGAAAGCCCCGGGCUUAACCUGGGAAUGGCAUUUGGGACUGCAAGGCUGGAGUGUGGCAGAGGAGACUGGAAUUCCUGGUGUAGCAGUGAAAUGCGUAGAUAUGCGGAGGAACACCGAUGGCGAAGGCAAUCCCCUGGGCCUGCACUGACGCUCAUGCACGAAAGCGUGGGGAGCAAACAGG
rnacentral:rRNA from 1 species